rnacentral:rRNA from 1 species
UACGUAGGGUGCGAGCGUUGUCCGGAAUUAUUGGGCGUAAAGAGCUUGUAGGUGGUUUGUCGCGUCUGCUGUGAAAAUCCAGGGCUCAACCCUGGACCUGCAUUCGAUACGGGCAGACUAGAGUUCGGUAGGGGAGACUGGAAUUCCUGGUGUAGCGGUGAAAUGCGCAGAUAUCAGGAGGAACACCGGUGGCGAAGGCGGGUCUCUGGGCCGAAACUGACGCUGAGGAGCGAAAGCGUGGGGAGCAAACAGG